rnacentral:rRNA from 1 species
UGAUCAUGGCUCAGAUUGAACGCUGGCGGCAGGCCUAACACAUGCAAGUCGAGCAGUAACAGGGGAAGCUUGCUUCUCGCUGACGAGCGGCGGACGGGUGAGUAAUGUAUGGGGAUCUGCCCGAUAGAGGGGGAUAACUACUGGAAACGGUGGCUAAUACCGCAUAAUCUCUAAGGAGCAAAGCAGGGGAACUUCGGUCCUUGCGCUAUCGGAUGAACCCAUAUGGGAUUAGCUAGUAGGUGGGGUAAUGGCUCACCUAGGCGACGAUCCCUAGCUGGUCUGAGAGGAUGAUCAGCCACACUGGGACUGAGACACGGCCCAGACUCCUACGGGAGGCAGCAGUGGGGAAUAUUGCACAAUGGGCGCAAGCCUGAUGCAGCCAUGCCGCGUGUAUGAAGAAGGCCCUAGGGUUGUAAAGUACUUUCAGUCGGGAGGAAGGCGUUGAUGCUAAUAUCAUCAACGAUUGACGUUACCGACAGAAGAAGCACCGGCUAACUCCGUGCCAGCAGCCGCGGUAAUACGGAGGGUGCCAGCGUUAAUCGGAAUUACUGGGCGUAAAGCGCACGCAGGCGGUUGAUUAAGUUAGAUGUG